UACGUAGGUCCCGAGCGUUGUCCGGAUUUAUUGGGCGUAAAGCGAGCGCAGGCGGUUAGAUAAGUCUGAAGUUAAAGGCUGUGGCUUAACCAUAGUACGCUUUGGAAACUGUUUGACUUGAGUGCAGAAGGGGGGAGUGGAAUUCCAUGUGUAGCGGUGAAAUGCGUAGAUAUAUGGAGGAACACCGGUGGCGAAAGCGGCUCUCUGGUCUGUAACUGACACUGAGGCGCGAAAGCGUGGGGAGCAAACAGG
rnacentral:rRNA from 1 species